CCCACAGAGUUUUGGGCGGGGCUCUUCUCCACACUGGCUCUCUCCUGCUCUGGCUGCUCCUGCACCUUCACACCUGUUCCCCAUCAAGCUAAUCAAGACACUGCACUUAAGCUCUGAGGAGAGAGGAGUAGGGUGCCAGAGUAUUCCCUGCUCUACAGUGUGCCUCCUCAAGCCUCCUGCACCUCCGCCCUAUCGCUGCCACGCUGCCACGCUGCCACGCUGCCACGCUGCCACGCUGCCACGCUGCCACGCUGCCACGCUGCCACGCUGCCACGCUGCCACGCUGCCCUUCCGGACACUUACCUGCCUUCACCCCGAACCUCACGCUUCACUCCUGCCUCUCCUGGAUCGCACCCUCACCUUGGAUUCUCGAUCAAUCAUCCUUCACCUCACCGUUAAAAGAAAUAAAAUCACUUCAACUGCUUCCUCAGCUUCCACUUGCUUUUGGGUCCUAGUUAAUUCUACCGUCACAUGUACUGUACCAUAUAAAUAAUGUACCUGUGUUUCAUCUGCAUGCAUGACUUGGCUUUCUAACUGUACAGAGAACCUUAUUUGAACUGAACCACUACAAAAGGGCCAACAUUUAUAACAACAGUAAACUGAAACCAUUACCUUAGUGUAAAACAU